GAUGAACGCUGGCGGCGUGCCUAAUACAUGCAAGUCGAGCGAACAGAUGAGGAGCUUGCUCCUCUGACGUUAGCGGCGGACGGGUGAGUAACACGUGGAUAACCUACCUAUAAGACUGGGAUAACUACGGGAAACCGGAGCUAAUACCGGAUAAUAUAUUGAACCGCAUGGUUCAAUAGUGAAAGACGGUUUUGCUGUCACUUAUAGAUGGAUCCGCGCCGCAUUAGCUAGUUGGUAAGGUAACGGCUUACCAAGGCAACGAUGCGUAGCCGACCUGAGAGGGUGAUCGGCUACACUGGAACUGAGACACGGUCCAGACUCCUACGGGAGGCAGCAGUAGGGAAUCUUCCGCAAUGGGCGAAAGCCUGACGGAGCAACGCCGCGUGAGUGAUGAAGGUCUUCGGAUCGUAAAACUCUGUUAUUAGGGAAGAACAAAUGUGUAAGUAACUAUGCACGUCUUGACGGUACCUAAUCAGAAAGCCACGGCUAACUACGUG
rnacentral:rRNA from 1 species